CCCUUAGAUGUUCUGGGCAGCACGCGCGCUACAAUGGUCUUCGCAAACGGAUGCAUUCUCGAAGGAGAAUGCCAAUCAUGGAAUCUAUGCCUUGGUCGGGACAGUUGCUUGCAAUUUUUCGACUCGAACCAGGAAUUCCUUGUAAUCGUGAUUCAUCACAUCACGAUGAAUACGUCCCUGCCCUUUGUACACACCGCCCGUCGCUCCUACCGAUCGAAGAGUUAGGUGAAUUGUUUUGAUCGAUAAGAUUUGACUAUGGUCAACUCUCGUUGUGAAAUUCUGUGAAUCUGACUGUUUAGAGGAAGGAAAAGUCGUAACA
rnacentral:rRNA from 1 species